rnacentral:rRNA from 1 species
AACGCGAAGAACCUUACCUACCCUUGACAUACAGUGGAGCUUGCAGAGAUGGAGUCUUUCAGUUCGGCUGGACCGGAGACAGGUGCUGCAUGGCUGUCGUCAGCUCGUGUCGUGAGAUGUUGGGUUAAGUCCCGCAACGAGCGCAACCCUCGCCCUUAGUUGCCAUCAUUUAGUUGGGCACUCUAAGGGGACUGCCGGUGAUAAGCCGCGAGGAAGGUGGGGAUGACGUCAAGUCCUCAUGGCCCUUACGGGCUGGGCUACACACGUGCUACAAUGGCGGUGACAGUGGGAUGCAAUGGAGUGAUCCUGCGCAAAUCUCAAAAAGCCGUCUCAGUUCGGAUUGUGCUCUGCAACUCGAGCACAUGAAGUUGGAAUCGCUAGUAAUCGCAGAUCAGCACGCUGCGGUGAAUACGUUCCCGGGCCUUGUACACACCGAGACGAC